CCGAGAAUAUUCGACAAUGGGCGAAAGCCUGAUCGAGCGAUACCGCGUGGUGGAUGAAGCGCUUCGGCGCGUAAACAUCUUUUAUGGAGGAGGAAGUUAUUGACGUUACUCCAUGAAUAAGGGGCUCCUAACUCUGUGCCAGCAGGAGCGGUAAUACAGAGGCCCCAAGCAUUACCCGGAAUUACUGGGCGUAAAGGGUGCGUAGGUGGUCGUGUUAGUCGUCCGUUAAAAACCAGGGCUCAACCCUGGAAAUGCGGGCGAAACGGCACGACUCGAGGGCGUGAGAGGUACAGGGAACUCUAGGUGUAGGGGUGAAAUCCGUUGAUAUCUAGGGGAACACCGAAAGCGAAGGCACUGUACUGGCGCGUUCCUGACACUCAAGCACGAAAGCGUGGGUAGCGAACGGGAUUAGAUACCCCCGUAGUCC
rnacentral:rRNA from 1 species